UAAGCCGUUCUUCCACCACGAUGCAACCGCGACCCCAACCCGCUCGUUCCCCUCCCCCUCCUCUCUUUCUCUCUCGCGCUUGACUCCCCCGCCGCCCCUUCCCGUCCCCACCCCGACGCCGUCCGCUCCCCAUCCACCAUCCCAGCGCGAUGGCUGGGAGGACCGCGCCCGCCUCCCUCCCCUCCUUCUCCCUCACGCCCGACUCCCUCGCUGCCCCUUUAUCCUGGAUCUCGUCAUGGACGCUACCACGACCAACGGUUCGACGGAGCAGGCGCCGCACUCUGCGCCACGGGACGGAGCCCGUCCCCACCCGACACCGGCCACCUCCACCCCGAGCUCCUCCGAGAAGUGAGUGAUUUCCAUUUCUUCGAUUGGAUGACGCGCGGUCGGGCCUCCGCACCUCUCUGUCCCCCUCCCCUCCCGCGGCGACAGCUUCCUCUAGGAGAUGAGCGCGCCCGCCCCCGCGCGCACCACCACCACCACGCGUCCACGCCCCUCGUGCACCUUCUCGCCCGAGGUACGCACCCUGCACCCUACACCCUGUCAAACCCUAGCUAUUAUCUACUGGGUUUCUUUCUUGGUGUUGAUAGUUUGUUGGAGAUUAGGCGUUUGAUUUCCUUUACAAAAUAGGUUCAGUUUGAAAUUGCGGCCAAAGCAAUGUUUUCAUGUGGUUUCAUCAAUUUUAGUUUCUAUAUUUACAUGUGUUUGAUUGUCCCUUGCCCUCGUUUAGAUAGAGAUUUCUAUCAAGAGUAUAGAAAGUUGGUGCCUGACAACUAGCUGCUUGCAUUCAUCCACCCCCUACUCUUAUCUUGCAAAAGCCCACUUCUUGUGUUUUGCUUGUAUAUAUAUUAGGCUGGACCAAAGUGUGGUUAAGUAACCUCUAACAAAUUGUCAUGACAUGAGCUGAUUAGCGGUCUAUUGUAAGCCCGCUCGGACUUACGAAAGUGGAGGUCACAUUUCCAUUCCACCAAUGCAUGUAGAUUUUGGUUCAGACUUCCAUCAGUGAAUGAAAAAAGGAAAAGCAAGAGAGAAUAGCAAGUACUUAUAUCAGUAUAAAAAUAUACCAAUGGGUAGUGAGCCUGCAACGUUGUGUACGUAUACAUGGGGAAAAUAUUUGGUUUGUGGCUUGUGUGAAAGGACAAUUUAGGUUUGUAUUCUAUAUCUGAGGACCAUUCAUAGCUUUCAGAUUUUGUUAUAAUUGUCAUCCCAUGGUUCUGCUCGGAACAACUCUUUCUCCAGGAUUGUUUUGGGACUGGUCAUUGCGGGCAUGUUGAGGGUAUUUAGUUAAACAAUUUUGUUAUUAUUUUAGAUUGAGUACAUCAACUCGCUGGUUGCUUACAUUUUCUUGGUCCCUAGAGCUACUCACCUCGCUGGUUGUUUACAUUUCCUUGUUCCUGGGAUCCACUUUCCUAAAAUGAAUCUGUUUUAAUCUUGUAACUGGAACUGGUGGAUAUUUUGAUAGGGAAAUUACGAUGAUUGAUUUCUGGAUUUGAGUUUCAGUUUUUUUUUUUGCUUGUACUGGCCUCUUGAGAUUGGAAGACUGGCGUUGUUGUGGGCUUGUGGCAUAGGCUUCCUUUGUGGGUCUUUUUCUCAUCUGAUGUAAACAAUAUUUUUUAGUCUGGUAACGGUGCAAAGGCAAAUGGGGCAUCAUCACAUAUCUAGGUCGUAUUUUCGACAGACAGAUAUAAAACGGAGUGGGAAUGCCUCGAUUGAUAUCAUGUCCAAGUUCUUCAAGCUGAUGGUGGUUCUACAAUUAAUGAAUGAUUUGAACGAAGUGUUCAAGAUGCCGCUAUCUCUUGUAUUGAGGUUAGUUAAUUCCAUAUUUGAUAUUGUCUGUGUAUGCCUACUUCAGCCGACAUUGUGUUUUUUCUAGACCCAUGGUGACUGGUAUGAUCUCUAUUUCUAUUGGACUUGUUCAAUUUCCCAAUAGUUACAUCCCAUAUUUACAAGCUGGAGAGAUUGAAACAUUUUUUAUAACAUCUUAUCUAUUAAAACUCCAUGUCGUUUGCUCCACCAGGGGCUUCCAGUGCGCUUUUUCCCCUCGAUCUCGUGUGAUCUGAGUGUGAGAAGGCUUAUAGUGUGCUUGAGGUUCUUCGACCUCUCUAUAAUUCCCCUAAGAUACUGGAACAAAAGGUAACUGUUGCGAUAUAUGUCAAUCUUCAAUUUCGUUGUCGCUUAGCAGUUGUUGGGCUUUGGUACCCAGUCUGUAAUUUUGCUGAUGCACCAGCGACACAUAUUUAUCAUUUUUUAUUUUUAAAUCAAUAACAAAGCACAGGUACAAUAUAAUCUUAUAUAGCUUUUAAGGUAUGUAAACAUCCACUUUAGUGAUGCUAACAAAUGUAUAAAAUAAUAAUAAUUAUUUUUUCAUAGCAAUAUAUUUUAUCAUAUUGCAUCUUAGUUCAUGCUACCUGGAUGUAAAUGUGGUGCGGUUUAGUUUAAUAAGAUCUUCACUAAUCACUACAUAGUGCAGCACUGGGCUGUUAAUAUUUUUUGUACCAUGUGUCAUAAGCAUGAGAUGUUGCCUGUAGAGUACCAAUGCUUUAUUGCAGUCUUCCUCCUCGUCUGCCCCAAUGUCGGCAAGUCAGCCCUCUUCAACAGGUGAGAGACACCUUAGGAAGGCAUCGGUCAUUGCCUCUCGCCUGUAGUUUCUAUGCCGCUAUGAGGGGUGGUGGCAUUUCCUCAAAUACGUUGCAUGUAUCACUGUAACUGUUCUUCCCCUUCCGUUACCAUUAACCCAUGCAUCUAAUUACUUGUAUAUUUUACGUUACCGUUUUCCUGUUCUCAACAUUUCAGAUUCUAGAUGAUGGUACGACAAAUUAUUUUAGGAGCGCUUUGACAUAAUUUAAAGCUUGGAAGGGAGCUUUCUAUGAUUUAUUUUUCUGACUGUUUCGUCACAUGUUCUUUCCCUAGAUGAAAGUAUUGAUUUAUUUUUGGUUCUGCAGGAUCAUUGCGUCUCUGCGAGCUAAUCAGUUCUGUGAGCGUCUCCCUAGCCCCAAUGGCGAGUCAACUGUUGAUUGUCAUCAGAUCUCAAAGAUGCCAAAUCUUGCAUUCACCAUUGCAAACAAGACUUUCACCUUAACACCAGAGCAGUACAUAGUGAAGUUGGAGCAAGCAGGACAAACUAUCUGCAUCAAUGGGUUUAUGGCAUUUGACGUACCGCCUCCUCGUGGUCCUCUCUGCUACGCUAAACAUAUCUGUACUACUCUUAAGUGUGCAAUGAGGGCGUCCACCGAGGGCAUCACCGUGCCCCCGCUCGCCCCCUCCACGCCCGCGCCUGUCUGCAUCCGCCCCCUUCGUCUCCCCGCAAUGGCCGCGUCCCUACCUCAUGUCUACGACGACAACUAGGUUAAACAUGAAGAAGUCAUCGGGCUCGGGCUCGGUGUCGUUGGCGCGGAGCAUCCCGGAGCUGUACGAGGAGAGGGGAGCCAGCAACCUCCGGGAGUUCGGGUUCCAGGAGCUCCGGGCCGCCACCAGCGACUUCAGCCGCCUGCUCAAGGUCGGCGAGGUGGCUUCGGGAGCGUUUACAAGGGCGUCGUCCGCCUUCCUGGCGGGCCCGCCGGCGGCACGGUAGUUGCCAUAAAAAACUCAAUCCCAAUGGUCAUCAGGUAUGGUCGUGUGGAUCAGUGUUUUCUUGGCUCACCUGUGUCAAUACCAUCUUGUCGUUGUUGAUCACGAAUUCGUCAGCAUUUUUACAGUAUAUUGCCUACCAUAUACAUUAUCUCUGUGUGUGUGUGGGUGAACCCUACAUCCCGUAGAAGUAGAACUACACAGGGUCUCUGUUUUUUGGAUCAUGAAAUGGACUGUACCUUGCAUGACUCUGUACAAUUCAUCUUGCUAAUGUGUCUGUGAAGUAUCUAUCAUUUUGCUAGCCCUGUUUCAUUUCAGAAGUUCAAGGUUAUCUCAUUCUGGCAUAUCUCAUUUGCCUGCUGAUGAAGUGAAGCCUUUGGUUAAAUAUGAUAAUGAUGAAGAUGCACACUCACCUGGUGGCCGUGGAAGGGGUCGUGGUGGUCGAGGCCGUGGGCGGGGCAGGGGCAGAGGUGGACGUGGAAAUGGGUUCAAUGAGUAUGCUGAUGCUGGUUGGGAAGACGAUCACGCCCCUGCAUAUAUGGGCAAUGGAUAUGCCCGCGGAAGAGGUCGCAGUUUCAGGGGCCGUGGUAGGAGAGGCGACGACGAUAACCAGCCUGAAUACCAACAUGUCGGAGGUUAUUUCAAGAAGAUCCAAUUGAACCAAAAAGUGGAAUAAAAUUUCCAACAUUUCUGGAAGACGACUCCAGUCCAUCUGCAGCGGUCCUUGUUGGGAUAGGUUUCAAAGGCAUGAGAGUGAUGAGGGUCAAAAAUCUGAACCUCUACGCUUUUGGUUUAUAUAUGCAACCAACUUCUAUCCGUGAGAAGUUGGGUCCUAAGUAUGCUUCAUUUCCAACUGACAAGCUGAUGGAGAACCCUGAUUUCUAUAGUAAUCUUCUCAGGAAAUGGGUUCAAUGAGUAUGAUGAUGCUGGUUGGGAAGACGAUCACUCCCCUGCAUAUAUGGGCAAUGGAUAUGCCCGUGGAAGAGGUCGCAGUUUCAGGGGCCGUGGUAGGAGAGGCGGCGACAAUAACCAGCCUGAAUACCAACAGGUCGGAGGUUAUUACGAGUGUUCAUGCUCCAGCUUUAGGUGGGUAACCUCACAGGACACAAAUGAAGUGUACAAAAUAUUUUCAAACAAAAUUAAGCAAGGCCUGAAGAUAAUCUGAAGAGCUUUGUACAGGCGAUUUUUGAUCAUUGUUGAUCCUGAUUCCUGAUUCUUUUAUUUUUUUCAACAACAGAUUUUCACCAUUUGUAAUGGAACUGAAACCAGCCUCUCAUCGAAGUGGAAACCUUUUUUUAGUCGUAAACAUUUACAUGGUUUAUCCAGUGGUAUGCUGAUGAAAGAUGCUAAGUUUCGCUUAAUAUAAUGUAUAUGAAGGUCCUGUGUA